rnacentral:rRNA from 1 species
ACGCCAGACUCCUACGGGAGGCAGCAGUGGGGAAUAUUGCACAAUGGGCGAAAGCCUGAUGCAGCAACGCCGCGUGAAGGAAGAAGGCCUUCGGGUCGUAAACUUCUGUCCUUGGGGAAGAAGAACUGACGGUACCCAAGGAGGAAGCCACGGCUAACUACGUGCCAGCAGCCGCGGUAAUACGUAGGUGGCAAGCGUUGUUCGGAAUAACUGGGCGUAAAGGAUGCGUAGGCGGUUAAACAAGUUAUAUGUUAAAUAUAUAGGCUUAACCUGUAGAAAGCAUAUAAAACUGUUUAACUAGAGUGCAGGAGAGGUAAGUGGAAUUCCUAGUGUAGCGGUGAAAUGCGUAGAGAUUAGGAAGAACACCAGUGGCGAAGGCGACUUACUGGACUGUAACUGACGCUGAGGCAUGAGAGCAUGGGGAGCAAACAGGAUUAGAUACCCGCGUAG